rnacentral:lncRNA from 1 species
UGAACCAAAAGGUUAACUACAGUAAUAAACCUGGAAAACAUGACCUUAAAUUGCAUGUCAGAUUAUGUUAGUGAAUAUUUCUGUGGAAGAGUUGGCAUGAUUGAUGGGAAUAAGCCUUAUUUACUAGCAAUAUUAAUCCAUUAGUAGGGCACAGGAAAAAUUUUUUCCUGCUUGAGGUAUUAUAAAUAUGGACAGAACGGAGAAAAGACUAUAAGCAGUUUGAUAGCCUAUAGAUUCUUUUCUGACUAGAUUUUAAAAACUGGUUCACAGAGAAUACCUUUCCUGGUAGAAUGAGUUAAGAUUGGAAGCAUGUUCCAUUUGUCCUCAUUAUUGAGAGGCAGGCAAGUCAAAAAGUAAAUAUUAUAAGCAGUAUUCAUUUAAAGAACUUUGUUUAUUUUGUGUUACCUAUUAGAAGUUUUAUUCUUAAAAGAGUUUAAUUUUCGAGAAGUAGUAUUUGGACAUCUUUUUCUCUCUCUCCAGAAAAAGAAAAAGGAAAGUUUUUGUUUUUUGUUUAUGGUGUUGGGGGAUUGAGCCCAAGACCUAAAACGUGCCAGGCAAGUGCUCUGUCUACCACAGAGACAGCCUUCCGGAAAUAAUUUUUAUAUCUGCUCAGGAGUUCCAAAUUCAGUUUUUUGUGCCCACCAGAUUAGUACCCGGUCCUUCUGACAUUUGAAUUAGUUAAUUUUAUUUGAAAGUGAGAAGAAAGAGUAAUCCUCUCUCUGUAGCUCUUAAAAUACUAGUUUGGGAGUUGGAGGCGGAAAGGAGAGCUCAAGUAUCUUUUCUUCCAGUAAGUGUUCAGUAGGAGAAGUAAUGUCACUUGAGUUUAGGAACUAGUAGUUAAGUAUUUUUACUUAGCCCUUUCUUUAUGAUUUAAGAUCAGAGUUUCAGGAUGGGGGGUAUUAUAAUUAAACAAGUUGAAGAUAGAACUGCUUAUUACCAACAUUUUAGGAAAUUUUUGACUAUUAUAUUUAUUUGGAGACCCUUUGACACAAUUUUUAAAAAUUUUUUUAGUUGUAGAUGGACAAUACUACCGUGUUUUAUUUAUAUAUUUUUAUGUGGUGCUGAGGAUUAAAACCAGUGCCUCACACA